rnacentral:rRNA from 1 species
AGUGAACGCUGGCGGUAGGCCUAACACAUGCAAGUCGAACGGCAGCACAGUAAGAGCUUGCUCUUACGGGUGGCGAGUGGCGGACGGGUGAGGAAUACAUCGGAAUCUACUUUUUCGUGGGGGAUAACGUAGGGAAACUUACGCUAAUACCGCAUACGACCUACGGGUGAAAGCAGGGGAUCUUCGGACCUUGCGCGAUUGAAUGAGCCGAUGUCGGAUUAGCUAGUUGGCGGGGUAAAGGCCCACCAAGGCGACGAUCCGUAGCUGGUCUGAGAGGAUGAUCAGCCACACUGGAACUGAGACACGGGCCAGACUCCUACGGGAGGCAGCAGUGGGGAAUAUUGGACAAUGGGCGCAAGCCUGAUCCAGCCAUACCGCGUGGGUGAAGAAGGCCUGCGGGUUGUAAAGCCCUUUUGUUGGGAAAGAAAAGCAGCAGGUUAAUACCCCGCUGUUCUGACGGUACCCAAAGAAUAAGCACAGGCUAACUUCGU